rnacentral:rRNA from 1 species
UACGGAGGGUGCGAGCGUUGUCCGGAAUCACUGGGCGUAAAGGGCGCGUAGGUGGCGGGAUAAGCGUGCGGUGAAAGCCCGGGGCUCAACUCCGGGUCUGCCGUGCGGACUGUCUUGCUUGAGCGUAGUAGAGGCAGGUGGAAUUCCGGGUGUAGCGGUGGAAUGCGUAGAGAUCCGGAAGAACACCGGUGGCGAAGGCGGCCUGCUGGGCUACUGCUGACACUGAGGCGCGACAGCGUGGGGAGCAAACAGG